CCUCACGCAACACCGACAUUACUACCGACUGAGAACACACAGCACUUUUCAGCCAGCCGAUUACUCUUAUGAAAUUCUAUUUCUCUCUUCCUCGUACUUUAUCAUUCACCACUGCAACACCCUGAAUCCUGUGCCUACCAGAAGGGGAGCCUCAUCAUUGUCUUGCUUCAGUUAGGGAACUCUCUGUACCUUGCUUAGAUUUAUUAGAGACUUCUAUUGAGAAUCUCAACCUAAUGUUGUUUGUUGAUGGAUCACACCUCAGAAGUGAAACUGGAGAUUAUCAAACAGGAUAGGAUAUGCUCUCCUUUCGAAUCGAGUCCUCUACCUGAGGUAACAUCAGCCCAGAUGGCAGAAGUCGUUGAGCUUACUAGAGCUUGUCAACUAGCCAACGACCAGAGAGGAAACAGAUAUACAGAUGGCAAGUAAGCUCUUGGAGGAGUGCAUGACUUUGAGAUGCUUUUCUCACCUCUGCUGUAACCACCAUAAAAACGGACAGGAAGUUAAGGAACUUUUAGAUGUCCUCUUCCUUGCUAAAGCGGUGGCUAUUAUAGAGGUUGAGCCCACGUGAAAAGAGAUAAUAUGAAAGCUACAGCAAAUGCUCUAACAGGUCCUUAUGCCAAACAAGCUGCUUUAACCAAAGCUAGGAUCCUAUCUAAAUCCUCAAAGGAUAUAUUGCUGGGGGGAUUCAAAGAGGCCAUUAUAAAAUAUCAACGCAACAAAUACCGACAACAGACAACAAAAGCCGCCAUGUGCUUUUACAGGAAGCACAUGGGAAACAAAAUGACAUAGGAGGUUGAAAAUAAAGGGAUGAAAAACCAUAUGAAGCAAGUAAUAAAAGAAGGUUAAUUGCUAAUAUAUGACGAAGUAAUAUUCUACUACAUCAAAAGGCAAAAAGAAGAAAUAGAAAUAUUUUAUACUUAUUAAAGAAAAAUCAACUACAAACCUAUCUCCUUCAUGAGUAGUCCUACCCUGGUGGGGUGUAGGCUCAUUUCUGAGAAUGUUUUGCUCCAUGUCUGCGUCCUGCUUGGCUUUGGGUCUCUUCGCUUGGCAUUGGGUCUUCCCAGAAAAAAAUCUCUCUUGUGCUUCUCUUGUGUGUAUGUCUCUGUUAUUUUUUCUUGACACUUGUUAGCGUGGUGGUGAGAGAUGCAGGGACAAAGAUGUUUUCUGAUCCUAGGACUGGGCCUCAGUCCUGGCCAAUCCCUGUGCACCUGGCGCUGGGGGCGUGGCCUCACAAAUGGUCUUGCCCCUCCUCCAGACCUAGUGCUGGGCUUUGCUCUAGUCCUGCCCUUCUUCCAGGGGUAGAGCCUUUUUUUUUUCUCAGCUGAUUGCUUCAGCCCCCUCCAGUACAGUUUGUGUUGCUCUUCCUCCUGAAGAUUCAGGCUUUUGCUUCUUAGGGGAGAUAGGUCUUGGUGGAGUUUUAGCAGGGGCUGCCAUUCCCCUCCCCCAGCCAGCCCUCAGCUGAGCACCUGGUGGGGUUCCUGAGAGAAACACACCUGUAAGAGUUUGCAGAACUCCUCUGUGUCUGGGAUUCAUGUUCUUCACAUAGCCCCCACGCAGCCUUUAGGAAUUCCUUGAAAGCUGCUGUCUGAAUCUCCUGUGGACUUCCGUGGUGUCUGGUAGUCCGCCCCAGUGGGUAAAGAUCUUCAUGGACUGAGUUUGCUUGAAGAAAGGGACACCUGCAUACUGUUGGUGUCUGGAGAGGAGGGACACAUGUGCUCUGCAGGUCAUCCCUCCCAGGCUGGCAGAGACAUGAGGCACAAGGAUGUGACGAUCCUCCUCUGGACAGGUGGGGUCUUCUCUCCUUCAUGCUGGCUCAACGUCUCAAGUCUUCCAUGUUGACCACUCACCUGACUGACUUUAUUCCAGCCUUGAAGUACAAAGGAGCCACAUCUGGGUUACAACUGAACCGCUGGUCUCGUCCUGCUCCAGCCAGCACAACCUGGCUGCACUUUUAUUGACCUCAUUGGGCCCUGAAUGCUGAAAGUCUGUUCAGUGGUCAAGUGUUUCUAUAAUAUUAAUACUUUAACAUUCUUCAUUGGGUUUAUGUUACCUCCAAACCACCCUCAUAAAUACAACUAGAUCUGGACAAUGGAGACAUAGGUAUUCAGGUGAUUAUUCCUAUACAUACUCAAUUUCUCCUGUCUACACUCCCAUUAAACAGUACCAUGUGCCAGAAAAAGAACCAGUCCAUUGUUCUCUCACUGCUAAAGUAUUCUGCCUCCUUCUGAACACCCUCAUGAAAGUCUCCGGUCAUAUUUACAAUUUUCCACAAGUGUAUCAAAAUAGAUGGAAGUAACCUGCUCCUCCUGCCUCCUUGAGUCAUGCCCAGGACUGAGUUUAACUAGGUGAUUUAGGGGUGUUAGACAUUCGUGCUGGGAAAAUAACUGCUGAUUUGGUUUAAAGGGUCAUUGAGCAAGGCUAACACACUGCCUGAACCCCAGCGUCAUCUGCUUCCACAUCCCCAAAAUACUAUGCUCCAGUUAGAUGGAAUGUAUUUGUUUCUACAGCGUGGCCAGGAUCUCUCUCACUUCCAAGUUUUUGCAAAUGCUGUUCCCCCUCUCCUGUUCAACCCUCCCGUCUCUUGUUGCCUUGCAAACUCCCACUCAUCCUCCCACACCGCCUAAACUGGGUCCCCUAGGAUUUAUCACGUGUUGCUACUGCUUAUUCGUCUUUCCUAGGAGACCUAAAUUCCUAAGGGCCUCAUCCUGUGCCUGUCUUGCUCAGCAUC
ensembl:lncRNA